UCAUCUGAUGCCGCUUUCACACCAAAAAGAACCGAGAGCCAGUUCCGGGCCGGUGCUAGGGCCAGUUCCAAACUGGUUCCAGCCUUACCCCAGUUAAGAACCGGUUGGUUUCACACCGGCGAGAGCCAGCCACGGAGCCGGCGAGAGCAACGUCAUGACGUCACUGCAAACGUUUGCCUAUGUCUCCGCUUUACCAGCAACCCUCGCAGUUUCAAACAACAAGAACAAUGGUGGAACACUCCGCAGCUGUUCAAGUUUUGCUCCUGGAUUUGGGCGCCUACUUAGGCAACCAAACUCAACAGAUCCAACAAAUAUGUGAUAUUGAUCGUGUGUGCGAGAGCGAUGGCCGGCGACUACGUUCAAGAAGAAGGUUAACAUUGUUGCGGAUGGCAAGGCGGAGGCCACACCCUAUCUGGGCGCACCCGCAGUCUCAACACUGGUG